ACCUUUGGUGAUUUAGCCGUAAUGAGCGUUUUUGGAACUCAUAAAGCUAGGUUACCAAAGCU
rnacentral:pre_miRNA from 1 species